rnacentral:misc_RNA from 1 species
GCUUGAGGUGUUGGAUGGGGCGUCGCUACCGACGAGGGGAUCGGAUGAGUUCAAGCCGUUUAUUCGCCGGCUCCCGGAGUUCAAGUUCUGGUAUUCUAUAACGAAAGCUUUCUGCGUAGCCUUUGUGAUGACCUUUUUCUCUGUGUUCGAUGUUCCUGUCUUUUGGCCUAUACUUUUGUGCUACUGGAUUGUUCUCUUUGUGCUGACGAUGAAGCGCCAAAUUCUACAUAUGAUCAAAUACAAAUAUGUACCUUUCAACAUUGGG